GCCGGCUUAGCUCAACGGGUAGAGCGGUUCAAGUGUAAUGAACAGGUUGGGGGUUCGAGACCUUCAGCUGGCAUCA
rnacentral:tRNA from 1 species